GUCCCAAGGGUUGGGCUGUUCGCCCAUUAAAGCGGUACGCGAGCUGGGUUCAGAACGUCGUGAGCCAGAUCGGUCCCUAUCCGUCGUGGGCGUAGGAAAUUUGAGAGGAGCUGUCCUUAGUACGAGAGGACCGGGAUGGACAUCCCUCUGGUGUACCAGUUGUCGUGCCAACGGCAUAGCUGGGUAGCUAUGUAUGGACGGGAUACGUGCUGAAAGCAUCUAAGCAUGAAGCCCCCCUCAAGCUGAGAUGUCCCAACUUCGGUUAUAAGAUCCCUCUAAGAUGAUGAGGUUAAUAGGUUCGAGGUGGAAGCAUGGUGACAUG
rnacentral:rRNA from 1 species